AAGAAAGACUAAUGAAAGGAAGGGGCACGUUUGCAAGUUUAUGGUUCUCUUAUUUUUGUUGUUAUUGUUGUUGUUGUUGUUGUUGUUUCAC
rnacentral:ribozyme from 1 species